GUUGUUAAAUUCAUUCGCGACAUUCAACAAAAUUGGAACGAUAUAGUGAAGAUGAGCAUGACACACGAAAAAAUGACAUGCAUAAAUCAAGAAUUAUAUUGUUAUU